GGAGAAAAAGGACAAAAAGGAGAACCUGGCGAUUUUGGAAUUGAUGGGAGAGAAGGCUAUAAGGGUCCAAAAGGAGAACAUGGUAUUUCAGGAUUUCCUGGUUCUCAAGGUCCACCUGGACCACCAGGGAUAAUAAUUGACACUGGUGAGGUUAUUCCUGGUCCGCGAGGAAAGCAAGGCGUUCCUGGUGAUAGAGGCUUACCAGGGGUUUCAGGUAA